rnacentral:tRNA from 1 species
UCCUCCGUAGCGCAAUUAGCUAGCGCGUUCGACUGUUAAUAACAGAUUAUCGAGAGGUUGACAGUUCAAGCCUGUCCGGGGGAG